rnacentral:lncRNA from 10 species
UUGUCUUCUUUCACUCUUUCGUUCUUUCUCUCUUUCUCUCAUCUUUCUUUCACAGGGUCUUGCUCUGUCACCCAGGCUGGAGUGCAGUGGCAUGUUCAUGGCUCACUGCAGCCUCGACUUCCUGAGUUCAAGUGAUCCUCCCACCUCAGUGUCCCAAGUAGCUGGCACUACAGGCACGCACUACUAUGCCCAACUAAUUUAUUUUGUGGAGAUGGGUCUUGCUAUGUUGUCAAGGCUGGUCUUGAACUCCUUGACUCAAGCAAUCCUCCUGCCUCAGCCUCCCAAAGUGCUGGAAUUACAGGCAUGAGCCACCAUGUACAGCCCUUCACUGAAGUCUUCAUAGUCUGAAGGCGGUGGUUUCAGACUGGAGAAUAGAAAACUGAGGAGAGCUAAAUGGACACUAGAAAAGGCCAAUCAAAGCUUAGGGGUGUGGCUCAUCAUUGUCCUGGAAGGGUUAUAUAUAGGGAGGCCAGGUGACCCAGAGAAGACAGUUGGGAGAUGCUGAUGUGGUGAAGAUGGCCAGUAAAGCACAAGCCUCCAACCCAGUUGUCGAGGGACAACCACCCACAACACCAAAGAGGCGAAGAAGAGGAAGGCCCCCUCUCAACCAAGAUUCAGAAGCCCUCUGAAGAUUCCCAAGACAACCCGGAAGGGAAAAGAGAGUCUUUGAGGGAGUUCCAGGAAAAAAGCCACUCCCGAAAGACCGCCGCUUCAAGAAAACCUGAGGAAGGGAGAGGGCCAACGCUAUCCAGCCACUCUGACCAGCUGAACGAGGAACUCAAUCAAAAGGAGCCACAGCAGGACCAGGAAAGUGAGGAGACUUCCACCAUCUCCAGCGUCUCCCUGGACAGCCAGUAAUUUCAGGGCAAGUUCAAAGGACUAGAUCUAUCUGAGAGGUCUCCAUAGGUCUAACCCCAGAGAAAUAGCCAAAAGGGUCUAUGGUACAUUUUACACACAACAGGGUACCCCUCAUGGUGAUGAAAAUAAAAUGAACCUGUUGUAAAAUGAU